GGCGGGAUGCUGGAGCGGCUUAACAGGUCUGUUUCGAAAACAGGUGUGCCACAAUGGCGCCGUAGGUUCAAAUCCUACUCCCGCCG
rnacentral:tRNA from 1 species